rnacentral:rRNA from 1 species
UACGAAGGGAGCUAGCGUUGUUCGGAAUCACUGGGCGUAAAGCGCACGUAGGCGGAUGUGUCAGUCAGGGGUGAAAUCCCGGAGCUCAACUUCGGAACUGCCUUUGAUACAGCACGUCUUGAGUCCGAUAGAGGUGGGUGGAAUUCCUAGUGUAGAGGUGAAAUUCGUAGAUAUUAGGAAGAACACCGGUGGCGAAGGCGGCCCACUGGAUCGGUAUUGACGCUGAGGCGCGAAAGCCAGGGGAGCAAACGGG